AUCGCGGCGACGUGAGCGGUUCGCUGCCCGCGACGUCGCGAGAAGUCCACUGAACCUUAUCAUUUAGAGGAAGGAGAAGUCGUAACAAGGUUUCCGUAGGUGAACCUGCGGAAGGAUCAUUGUCGAAUCCUACAAAGUAGAUAACCCGCGAACAAGUUCAUUCUCGGGUGCCGGGCGUUGGGUUCCUCCCAGUGCCCGUCUCCCAUUGGCCGACAGGUGCCCGUCGGUUCCCUGUCGUGCUAAACAACAACAAAAUCGGCGCGGGAAGCGCCAAGGACUACUCAAACGGAAUGCCUUCCCGCGGCUCGACCGUUUGCGGCACGAGUUGCGGGAUAAAAGGCUCCAUUCGAAUAAACGACUCUCGGCAACGGAUAUCUAGGCUCUCGCAUCGAUGAAGAACGUAGCAAACUGCGAUACUUGGUGUGAAUUGCAGAAUCCCGUGAACCAUCGAGUUUUUGAACGCAAGUUGCGCCCGAAGCCACUAGGACAAGGGCACGUCUGCCUGGGCGUCACGCAUCGCGUCGCCCCCACGCCCAUUCGGGCCGUUCAAGGGGGCGGAAAAUGGCAUCCCGUGCUUUGCCGCGGCCUGCCUAAACUCGAGUCCUCUGCUGCGGACGUCACGACAAGUGGUGGUUGAAACCCUCAACUAGAUUGCGAGUCGUUUGCACCCCGCGGCCGAGGAGACAUCGAAUAGACCCUAGUGCGAUCCCUUCCCAAGGGAGGAGCGUUCGCCACGACCGCGACCCCAGGUCAGGCGGGGCUACCCGCUGAGUUUAAGCAUAUCAAUAAGCGGAGGAAAAGAAACUAACAAGGAUUCCCCUAGUAC
rnacentral:sRNA from 1 species